GGGGCGUUAGCUCAGUGGUAGAGCAGCUGCCUUUUAAGCAGUUGGUCGAAGGUUCGAUCCCUUCACGCCUCACUA
rnacentral:tRNA from 1 species